UAGGGAAUCUUCGGCAAUGGACGAAAGUCUGACCGAGCAACGCCGCGUGAGUGAAGAAGGUUUUCGGAUCGUAAAACUCUGUUGUUAGAGAAGAACAAGGACGUUAGUAACUGAACGUCCCCUGACGGUAUCUAACCAGAAAGGCACGGCUAACUACGUGCCAGCAGCCGCGGUAAUACGGAGGGUGCAAGCGUUAAUCGGAAGUACUGGUCGUAAAGCGCACGCAGGCGGUUGAUUGAGUCAGAUGUGAAAUCCCCGGGCUUAACCCGGGAAUUGCAUCUGUUACUGGUCAGCUAUAGUCUUUUAGCGGGGGGUAGAAUUCCAUGUGUAUCGGUGAACUGCGUAGAGAUGUGGAGGACUACCGUUGGCGAAGUCGGCCCCCUGGACAAAGUCUGACGCUCAGGUGCGAAAGCGUGGGGAGCAAACAGG
rnacentral:rRNA from 1 species